AACGCACAUUGCGCCCGCCAGUACUCUGGCGGGCAUGCCUGUCCGAGCGUCAUUUCACCACUCAGGCCCAGCCUGGCGUUGGGGCACUGCGUGCGAGCGCAGGCCCUCAAGUGCAGUGGCGAGCCGGCCGGGAACCCGAGCGUAGUAAUACUCUUCGCCCUGGGGGCCCGGACGGACUCCGCCAUCAACAGAGGGACGCGAGUCCCUCCUUCUCAAGGUUGACCUCGGAUCAGGUAGGAAUACCCGCUGAACUUAA
rnacentral:misc_RNA from 1 species